GUGAGGAAUAUUGGUCAAUGGGCGAGAGCCUGAACCAGCCAAGUCGCGUGAGGGAGUACUGCCCUAUGGGUUGUAAACCUCUUUUGUCGGGGAGCAAAAGCCGGACGUGUCCGGCUGUGAGAGUACCCGAAGAAAAAGCAUCGGCUAACUCCGUGCCAGCAGCCGCGGUAAUACGGAGGAUGCGAGCGUUAUCCGGAUUUAUUGGGUUUAAAGGGUGCGCAGGCGGAUUUUUAAGUCAGCGGUCAAAUCGUGGGGCUCAACCCCAUCCAGCCGUUGAAACUGGGGAUCUAGAGUGUGCGAGAGGUAUGCGGAAUGCGUGGUGUAGCGGUGAAAUGCAUAGAUAUCACGCAGAACCCCGAUUGCGAAGGCAGCAUACCGGUGCACAACUGACGCUCAGGCACGAAAGCGUGGGUAUCGAACAGG
rnacentral:rRNA from 1 species